UAAUACGAACCGUCCAAACGUUAUUCGGAAUUACUGGGCUUAAAGGGUACGUAGGCGGCGCUGUCAGUCGGGUGUGAAAUCCCACGGCUCAACCGUGGAACUGCGCCCGAUACUGCAGUGCUUGAGGGAGACAGAGGUAAGCGGAACUGAUGGUGGAGCGGUGAAAUGCGUUGAUAUCAUCAGGAACACCGGUGGCGAAAGCGGCUUACUGGGUCUCUUCUGACGCUGAGGUACGAAAGCUAGGGGAGCGAAGGGG
rnacentral:rRNA from 1 species